rnacentral:rRNA from 1 species
CCUACGGGUCGCAGCAGUGGGGAAUAUUGGACAAUGGGCGAAAGCCUGAUCCAGCAAUGCCGCGUGUGUGAAGAAGGUCUUCGGAUUGUAAAGCACUUUCGACGGGGACGAUGAUGACGGUACCCGUAGAAGAAGCCCCGGCUAACUUCGUGCCAGCAGCCGCGGUAAUACGAAGGGGGCUAGCGUUGCUCGGAAUGACUGGGCGUAAAGGGCGCGUAGGCGGUUUAUGCAGUCAGAUGUGAAAUCCCCGGGCUUAACCUGGGAACUGCAUUUGAGACGCAUAGACUAGAGGUCGAGAGAGGGUUGUGGAAUUCCCAGUGUAGAGGCGAAAUUCGUAGAUAUUGGGAAGAACACCGGUGGCGAAGGCGGCAACCUGGCUCGAUACUGACGCUGAGGCGCGAAAGCGUGGGGAGCAAACAGGAUUAGAUACCCUGGUA